UACGGAGGGUGCAAGCGUUGUUCGGAAUUACUGGGCGUAAAGCGCGUGUAGGCGGCUAUCUAAGUCUGGUGUGAAAGCCCGAGGCUCACCCUCGGAAGCGCACUGGAUACUGGAUGGCUCGAGUACCGGAGAGGAGGGUGGAAUUCCUGGUGUAGCGGUGAAAUGCGUAGAUAUCAGGAAGAACACCGGUGGCGAAGGCGGCCCUCUGGACGGAUACUGACGCUGAGACGCGAAAGCGUGGGGAGCAAACAGG
rnacentral:rRNA from 1 species